UCUGCAACCUCAGAGGUUAAAACAAUUGGCUCAAAUAAUUAUGGGAUCUGUUCCUAAAUCAAAUCUUGGCCUUGAUAACUCUGUUUUUGGUAAAGUGAAUCAAGUAAGUUUAUCUUCCUUUCUAAACCGUACUGUCCAUGCUGCCUCGCCUGCUCCAACUCCAGCUCCUGCUCCAAAUGAACCUUUGUGGCCAUCACCUUCCCCAUCACCUUCUGUUUCUUCAUCUCCAUCUCCAUCUCCAGCUCCCUUGUCCAACUGUCGUAGAUUACGGUCACAUGCUAGACAUCAUUGUGGUCCAGCUCAUGGAGAAGAACCUAGCAGCUCUCCAUCUCCUAUAGCUGAUCCACCUUCUCCUGUGACAAGCUCUGGUCCACCUUCAAGUAGUUCUGGAGUUGCAGCAAGCCCAUCA
rnacentral:misc_RNA from 1 species